AGAGUUUGAUCCUGGCUCAGGACGAACGCUGGCGGCACGCUUAACACAUGCAAGUCGAACGAGAGAAGAGGAGCUUGCUUUUCUGAUCUAGUGGCGGACGGGUGAGUAACACGUGAGCAAUCUGCCUUUCAGAGGGGGAUACCGAUUGGAAACGAUCGUUAAUACCGCAUAACAUAAUUGAACCGCAUGAUUUGAUUAUCAAAGAUUUAUCGCUGAAAGAUGAGCUCGCGUCUGAUUAGCUAGUUGGUAAGGUAACGGCUUACCAAGGCGACGAUCAGUAGCCGGACUGAGAGGUUGAUCGGCCACAUUGGGACUGAGACACGGCCCAGACUCCUACGGGAGGCAGCAGUGGGGAAUAUUGCACAAUGGAGGAAACUCUGAUGCAGCGAUGCCGCGUGAGGGAAGAAGGUUUUAGGAUUGUAAACCUCUGUCUUCAGGGACGAAAAAAGACGGUACCUGAGGAGGAAGCUCCGGCUAACUACGUGCCAGCAGCCGCGGUAAUACGUAGGGAGCGAGCGUUGUCCGGAAUUACUGGGUGUAAAGGGAGCGUAGGCGGGAUCGCAAGUCAGAUGUGAAAACUAUGGGCUUAACUCAUAAACUGCAUUUGAAACUGUGGUUCUUGAGUGGAGUAGAGGUAAGCGGAAUUCCUAGUGUAGCGGUGAAAUGCGUAGAUAUUAGGAGGAACAUCAGUGGCGAAGGCGGCUUACUGGGCUUUAACUGACGCUGAGGCUCGAAAGCGUGGGGAGCAAACAGGAUUAGAUACCCUGGUAGUCCACGCCGUAAACGAUGAUUACUAGGUGUGGGGGGACUGACCCCUUCCGUGCCGCAGCAAACGCAAUAAGUAAUCCACCUGGGGAGUACGACCGCAAGGUUGAAACUCAAAGGAAUUGACGGGGGCCCGCACAAGCAGUGGAGUAUGUGGAUUAAUUCGAAGCAACGCGAAGAACCUUACCAGGUCUUGACAUCGUAUGCAUAGCUCAGAGAUGAGUGAAAUCUCUUCGGAGACAUAUAGACAGGUGGUGCAUGGUCGUCGUCAGCUCGUGUCGUGAGAUGUUGGGUUAAGUCCCGCAACGAGCGCAACCCUUACUGUUAGUUGCUACGCAAGAGCACUCUAGCAGGACUGCCGUUGACAAAACGGAGGAAGGUGGGGAUGACGUCAAAUCAUCAUGCCCCUUAUGACCUGGGCCUCACACGUACUACAAUGGCUGUCAACAGAGGGAAGCAAAGCCGCGAGGUGGAGCGAACCCCUAAAAGCAGUCUUAGUUCGGAUUGUAGGCUGCAACCCGCCUACAUGAAGUCGGAAUUGCUAGUAAUCGCAGAUCAGCAUGCUGCGGUGAAUACGUUCCCGGGCCUUGUACACACCGCCCGUCACGCCAUGGGAGUCGGUAACACCCGAAGCCUGUAGUCUAACCGCAAGGAGGACGCAGUCGAAGGUGGGAUUGAUGACUGGGGUGAAGUC
rnacentral:rRNA from 1 species